GACGAACGCUGGCGGCGUGCCUAACACAUGCAAGUCGAGCGAAUGAAGUUCCUUCGGGAACGGAUUUAGCGGCGGACGGGUGAGUAACACGUGGGCAACCUACCUCAUAGAGGGGAAUAGCCUUCCGAAAGGGAGAUUAAAUACCGCAUAAGAUUGUAGUACCGCAUGGUACAGCAAUUAAAGGAGCAAUCCGCUAUGAGAUGGGCCCGCGGCGCAUUAGCUAGUUGGUGAGGUAACGGCUCACCAAGGCGACGAUGCGUAGCCGACCUGAGAGGUGAUCGGCCACAUUGGGACUGAGACACGGCCCAGACUCUACGGGAGGCAGCAGUGGGGAAUAUUGCACAAUGGGGGAAACCCUGAUGCAGCAACGCCGCGUGAGUGAUGACGG
rnacentral:rRNA from 1 species